rnacentral:rRNA from 1 species
CAGCAGCCACGGUAAUACGGAGGAUCCAAGCGUUAUCCGGAAUCAUUGGGUUUAAAGGGUCCGUAGGCGGUCUUGUAAGUCAGUGGUGAAAGCCCAUCGCUCAACGGUGGAACGGCCAUUGAUACUGCAGGACUUGAAUUAUUGGGAAGUAACUAGAAUAUGUAGUGUAGCGGUGAAAUGCUUAGAGAUUACAUGGAAUACCAAUUGCGAAGGCAGGUUACUACCAAUUGAUUGACGCUGAUGGACGAAAGCGUGGGUAGCGAACAGGAUUAGAUACCCGUGUAGUCCCUGUCUCUUAUAC